CAUGAUUAAAAAUUUAAAAGCUAUACUCACCCAAAAAGAGAAAUAAACCACUUUCACAUGCUACUCGAUAUCAGUCGUGCCCCUAAAUCCGUAGAAACACUGCACAGCGCGCUGCAGCCGCCCCGCCUCCCCUCUCCUCUCCACCAAUCACAGCUGCAGGAGCCAGACAAGAGGCGGAGUCAGACUCAGCAGGUCACGGGAGGUGGCGCUGUGCGCGUGCGCGUUCGCUGAGGACGUUUCCAUGGAGUCUUUCAGAAGCACGAGGCGCCGAGAAAAGACUAGUGUGCGCGGAAUGACGUAAUGUGAUGGACUGAAGCCGCUGUAGCGCCGGUUCUUCGUGCACUGCCUGCAUCUGCUGCUCCGCAUCCCUCAGCGGACACUCUGCACUCUUGUUUAGGACCCAUUCUGGAGCAAAAAUACCUUCUUUGGAUUUGUGAUUUUUGAGGAUUUUACAAGACCGCGAUGUAAAGCUGCAAGAACAUGCCACUGUGUCAUCUGGAAGUUUUCAAAUCAUCAGGAAGAUGAAUACAGAAAUGUGUAAUUAUGAAGUUGGGGUAACCUUCCCCCCUUCUCGAUGCCUGUCACAGAGCAGCCAUGCUGGGCUUCAUCUGAAGGGAUGCACCAUGGUGUGAGCACACGUCUGUCCUACCCCAGACUCAAUGAAUCGCACCAAUGAAUGGACAUUACUGUGGCAAAGGGAAUUAGCUUGCUUGCAUAGGGACUUUGGAUUUGGGAAUACUGGAACCGGUCAGAGAGCGCUGGAUUUUCUUUUGAAGAAGUGCAGCAGAUUCUUCAAGGAGUGUUUUUGGAAGAUGUCUGAGAAGGGAGCUGAGGCGUCUACAACUCAGCCCCAAAAGCGGAAGCAGGUGAUUCACGGUCUGGAAGAUCAGAAACAGGUUGGUGCUUUGACUUGAGGUGACAGAUAACAUAAUGUCUUAUGCAUGACUACAGUGUUUCCGAAAUGUAAAGGUACUUGAUCUUGUCCUAAACACCCCUUAUUUGCUUUCAAAUAUUUCAGUUUUCAAACAGGACUGUGUCUGUUUGA